rnacentral:rRNA from 1 species
UACGAAGGGGGCGAGCGUUGUUCGGAAUUACUGGGCGUAAAGCGUAUGUAGGCGGCUUUGUAAGUUAGAAGUGAAAGCCCAGGGCUCAACCUUGGAACUGCUUUUAAAACUGCAGAGCUCGAAUGUGGGAGAGGAUAGCGGAAUUUCCAGUGUAGAGGUGAAAUUCGUAGAUAUUGGAAAGAACACCAGUGGCGAAGGCGGCUAUCUGGACCACAAUUGACGCUGAGAUACGAAAGCGUGGGGAUCAAACAGG